UACGUAGGGCGCAAGCGUUGUCCGGAAUCAUUGGGCGUAAAGAGCUCGUAGGUGGUCUGUUACGUCUGCUGUGAAAACCUAGGGCUUAACCCUGGGCCUGCAGUGGAUACGGGCAGACUAGAGGACUGUAGAGGAGAUUGGAAUUCACGGUGUAGCAGUGAAAUGCGUAGAUAUCGUGAGGAAGACCAGUUGCGAAGGCGAAUCUCUGGGCAGUUCCUGACACUGAGGCACGAAGGCCAGGGGAGCAAACGGG
rnacentral:rRNA from 1 species